GACAGAGGGUGCAAACGUUGCUCGGAAUUACUGGGCGUAAAGCGCGUGUAGGCGGCUUACUAAGUCGGGUGUGAAAUCCCUCGGCUUAACCGAGGAAGUGCACUCGAUACUGGUAAGCUUGAGUACCGGAGAGGGUCGUGGAAUUCCUGGUGUAGAGGUGAAAUUCGUAGAUAUCAGGAGGAACACCGGCGGCGAAGGCGGCGACCUGGACGAGUACUGACGCUCAGACGCGAAAGCGUGGGUAGCAAAC
rnacentral:rRNA from 1 species